GUAUCAAUUGGUUUUAUCUACCAAUAACUAUCAUUGCUCUACAUUAGUGAGAGGAAGAAUGGUUCACAACAUUAGUGAACAUUCAUUGAAGUCGAUAGUCGAAAUCUUUGUAAAGUCCACGUGUCGAAACAUAAACCAGGUCAUACGAAACCCAAUCCAGCAUGUCCAAUGCCCAAAAUCAUCGUCCACCACAUGGCUCAUAACAAUUGGUUUAAAGCCAUAUCCAACUUAUCCGAAAAUGGCAGAUAAGGCAUGUGUGUGCCCCAAACCAAUCUACAUCACAUAAACAACGAACAAAAUAAUUGGACCAAACAUUAAAAAAAAAUAUAAUCCCACAUUUCGAUACUUACCUCAUUUUUGAAAGACAUUUGGGUUGCAAUGGCACAAGCAAUGGCAUCGAUGACUGGUUUACGUGGCUCUUCACAAGCUGUGUUGGAAGGUAGUCUCCAACUCAGCGGCCAAACCCGGUUGAACGUUGCUAGCACCAACAGGGUGGCUGUGGCUAGACCUGGUUUUACCGUUAGAGCUCAACAGGUCCCUGCCGAGCCUGAAACUGGACGCAGAGCUGUGCUGGGUCUUGUUGCUGCUGGUUUGGCUACUGGCUCCUUUGCUCAAGCUGUGCUUGCUGAUGCACGAAGCAUCAAGGUUGGCCCGCCUCCACCACCCUCCGGUGGAUUGCGUAAGUCUUCUUCAAUUAUCCUUUCAAAUCAUCACUUUACUUGCUUCGAUUACAGCUAGUAUUUAACUCCUAAGCUAAUGCUAUUAGCUUAAAUUGGCUAUUCAGACAUGAUUGAUAUCUUCAUAAUACUUUGAAGAUAUAAUUAAAAUGUUUUGAAGUUUGAAAUGGAUUUAAAAUAUGGAUUGUAGUGAAAAAGAGUAACUAUAUUAUGGAUACUCUUAUACUAAGAGCUAGAUAACAUUUUGCAUCUUUUACUAAAAAAUGGACAAGUUAAACCAUAUAUAUUAGAUUAAAGAGUAAAUUAAAUUUUUUAUUAAAAUUGUUAUUGAUUUAUACUAUUAAAAAUUAGCGUGAAUAAUAGAAUAAUCAAAUAGGGACACUUGAUGUGCCACAUGUACAAAAACUAAUUUUUAACACAAAAUGGAUUGAAUUUUUAACAAAAGAACCAAUUUACUGUUUGAGCGUAGAAAGACUAAUUUACUCAUUUUUUAAAUAAAAAAAAUAAAAUGCAAUUCGAUUUUUAAUAUGGAGGACUCCAUUUACUUUUACCUGAAAAAUACAUUUGGUACAAUUAACCCAAUCAUCAGCAUGUGAUAUGGUUCAAUAAUUUGAUAGCCAAACCAUGUUCUUGGCAGCCGGAACUUUGAAUUCCGAUGAGCCAAGAGACCUUGAUCUGGCGUACAAAGAUCGGUUUUUCCUCCAACCAUUGACUCCGGCACAAGCGGCUCAGAGGGCAAAGGAAUCAGCCAAAGACAUCCUUGGUGUCAAGACCUUGAUCGACAAAAAAGCAUGGCCCUAUGUCAUGAAUGACCUUCGUCUCAAGGCUGAGUACCUCCGCUUUGACCUUAAAACUGUUAUUUCUUCCAAGCCCAAAGAUGAAAAGAAAUCUCUCGAUGAACUCACUAAAAAGCUCUUCAAUACCAUUGAUGGAGUAAGUUUUGAAGUAUACAGAUUAAUUUAUAUUAUUUAACGAAAUAUUAUAACUUACCAUUCUGAUAUGAAUUUUUUUUUUCCGUGUAGCUUGACCAUGCAGCCAAGAUCAAGAGCACCCCUGAAGCAGAAAAGUACUAUGCCGAGACUGCAUCAGCUUUGAAUGAAGUUAUUGCCAAGCUUGGCUAAGGGAAUUGUUGUAUUUUAAUGUAAGCAUUGUUGAUCGUUUGUAGAGAAACUUUC
rnacentral:lncRNA from 1 species